rnacentral:tRNA from 1 species
GCCUGGGUGGCUCAGUUGGUUGGGCUUCUGACUUCAGCUCAGGUCAUGAUCUCGUGGGUUUGAGCCCCAUGUCAGGCU